CCCCGCGCCCCCUUACCCGUGGCGACCGCUACGCUGGCCACGCUCCAGCGAAAUGAGGUAGGCGGCAAGUUUGGCGUCGCUCCAGCCGCUGCGGCGUCUCAGGUCCACCCAGGGGCCGUGCGCCUCGCCCAGGAGCUGAGGUGACAGGGAAGCACCCGAGGUUUAGAUACAGGGGAUCAGCCUGGAGACAUCCCAGGACUGCGACCCCACAUUCCUGCUGCCGUGGGUAGUGGACGAAGAUGCGCUGGAUAACGUUGCGGGGCCGGAAGACCUCCUUGGGGAAAACAUCCAGCAGCAGGUCUGGGGCUCCGGGGGUCGAGGAACCAACCACGGCUCAUCCUUGUGUGUAGCUGCACUACAGUGAAGGCCUCGUAGAGCCUGGAGGGACACCUGGGAGAAAGGAUGGUGCCUGCUUUUUGUUUUCUGUUUCUUGGCAGAGGAAAGUCUUCCACCUUCCCAAAAUAACACAGUCAGGGUCUUUAUAGCAACCACCCUAUUUGUGGACACCAACUUCUGUACUAGUGCUUCCCUGUUACUGUGAUGAAGUACCAUGAGCUAAUCUGGCAGUGUUGUAUGGUACUGGCUUUGAAGGCAGGAAGGAAGCAAGAAUCCUGAGAAGGUGGGCCAGUGCAUGGUACAUGGUAACUGCCCAACACCGACCAACGGAGUGGAACUAAGCAAGUUUCUACAAAACAGAGAGAAAUCUGAACAGCCAGGUCGCGUGUGUGUAUGCGUGUGGGCUGGCACGAUUCCGGGUCUCUAAGAGGUCUCAUUGGAAGGUUCCAAUGCCUGCGUCACAGACAAGAUGUGUGGCCCAAGUCCGCGGUCCCAUCUGUGAAACGGACCGCCUGCAGCAAGAGGUGCCCAGCAACCUUUCCAGGCACGUUCCCAAGCCUGCACCCCAAAAGGUCACAGUGUCCCGACUCUGAGGCCGAGUUGAAGGUCAUCCUCCCCGGCUCUACCAGGCCUGGAAGUGGACGCCCCGAAUCCCAGACAGUCCCAUAAACCUCCCACGCGCGACCCACCUACUCACGUGGCCAGCCGCAGACCCGAGCCGGCUCUGUGGGACCGCUGGACGCUGUCAUGUUGAGCCACGGAGCUUCCGGUUACGAGUCGAAGGUGACAGCAAAUCAGAAGAGCCUGUGACGAUAGGUCCCGCCCUCAGGAAGAGAUCCACCAAUAGGAAGGGGGGAGACGCUGGUUUCUCCUCAGGAGCAGGCCCUGCCCCUCACUGAGCUCCAGAAGCCUGGAGACUUUGGAUACCAGUACGGAGGCGCUGGAGCGGGUUCCCCGGCGUCCGUCCGGUCCAACUUUCUCCGCGGUGUGGUAAAUUAUUAUUAUUGUUACGGACUGGAAGCACCACAUCCGGUUCGGAGCCCAGGGCGGCUUGCGUGCUAAGCAAGCACUCUACUGCUGUCAACUAAGCCGCAGCCCCAGUCCCGGAAUGCAUUUUUUUACUAAAGAGGUUUUUUCAGUUUGGUUGGUUGAGUUGUUUGAGUCAGGGUCUUGCAGUGGUGCUCAGCCUGUUCUCAAAACCCUGGAUUCAAGAGAUCCUCGGGGUUCAGCCUCCCGAAUAGCUGGAACCUCAGCUGGGCAACACUGCCAACAGCUUUAACAGAAUGUCAAGCUGUGUUUAUUUUUACUGUGUGUUAUGUGUGUAAGUCUAUGUGAGCAUGUUCGUGUGGGAGUCAGAGGGCAGCUUGGGGGAUGUUCUUUCCAUGUGGGUACUGGGGAUGAAACCUGGGUCAUCAGGCUUGGCUGCGAGCACUUUUAACGCCCUUUAAUAAAAAUGUUUGAAGU
rnacentral:lncRNA from 1 species